rnacentral:tRNA from 1 species
GGAGAGGUGGCCGAGUGGUUGAAGGCGCUGCUCUCGAAAAGCAGUAUGUGGGGCAACUCAUAUCGAGGGUUCGAAUCCCUCCCUCUCCG